GGCUACCCCUGCUCCCUUCUGCCCUUCUCCAGGUGCAGCCAGAGUGCAGGUGUGAAGCCCACGUCCUACUCCGCAGCCCUCCUGGGGAGCCACAGCCCAGAAGGAGCCUUCCGUCCAGGCAGCCCGCCGUGUCCGAUGGCCGAGACCCCUGGCGGUGAGCCACUGGCGGUGCCCUGUGCUGCAGGCCUCCUCUGGGCCGGAGCCCACCAGGGAGGAUGCAGGAAGCCUCCAAGCGUCACCGUGAAGGAAGAAGAGGCGGAUCUCCCACCUGAGAAGACUCGGCCCCGUUUGCUUUGAGACGGAGCUCUUCGGGACAGCGUGGCCUUCGUUCCUCUCCUCCUCUUCCUCUUUCCUCUUCGGAGCUUCGGCCUUGAAAUGCAGCUCUUGAAGGAGGGCGCCAAAGUCGGGGGACCAUCCCCAUCGCCGGGAGCUUAACGGGGCAGAGCUAGAAACGGGUGGCAUUGGGGGCGGAAUCGCCUGGCGAUGGUUACAAGCAAGGGAAGAGGCCUUCGAAGCCCCCCCGCCCCCCUCCUGCCCACAGCUGCUGAAGGAGGAGGGGAAACACUAACCAUCGCUGGGCAGCCUUCUGCGGAAUAGUCCGUUCCAUGGAAUUCUCUACACUUCUGGGAAUUCUCUAGGCAAAGCUGGCUGGGGAAUUCUGGGAGUUGAAGUCAACGAGGCUUAAAGUGGCCAAGGCUGGAGACCCCUGGCCCAGAUUAGACUAUGGAAUAUCCUGUUCAGUAAGUUACAUACAAGUGGACUUCCAAUCCCCGGAAUUCUCCAGCCAGCGGGCAUUGAAGUCCCAUGUCUUCAAGUUGACCACGUGCCUUAAUCUGCGGUGGUUGAGAAGCAUUAAAUGCAGAUUGUAUUUACAGUUGGAAAAGUUCCUCUGAACUUUAAACUACAAAUAAGAAACCAUUUUUUUUUCCUGUAAGCAAUUAGGGAAGCUUUUUUUUUUUCCUUUUGGGCUUUUGGGCUUACAGUAUUCAGUGGCCUCCAGUGGAUUUCUGUUUCAGUGUUCAUCUUUAUUAGGAUUACUUUGCACAAUUACUAUUUAAAAAAAAAACACCAAAAGGUUGUUUCUAAAACUCAAGACAAGGACUGUCAACUUGUAAAUGGUAUAUAAAUAAUAGGAUAAUAAAACAACUCACUGGA
rnacentral:lncRNA from 1 species